GUGCUUCCUUCAGCUGCACAUAUACUAAAACUGGACCAAUACAGAGAAGAUUAAUUAGCAUGGCCCCUGUUCAAGGAUGACACGCAAGUUCAUGAAGCAUUCCAUGUUUUU
rnacentral:snRNA from 1 species